rnacentral:rRNA from 1 species
AGCUCGUGUCGUGAGAUGUGGGUUAAGGUCCCGCAACGAGCGCAACCCUUGCCUUUAGUUUGCCAGCAGUUCGGCUGGGCACUCUAAAGGGACUGCCGGUGUUAAACCGGAGGAAGGUGGGGAUGACGUCAAGUCCUCAUGGCCUUUAUGACCAGGGCUACACACGUACUACAAUGGCCGAUACAAAGGGCAGCGACACUGCGAGGUGAAGCCAAUCCCGUAAAAUCGGUCUCAGUCCGGAUUGGAGUCUGCAACUCGACUCCAUGAAGUUGGAAUCGCUAGUAAUCGUGGAUCAGCAUGCCACGGUGAAUACGUUCCCGGGCCUU